GAUGAACGCUGGCGGCGUGCCUAAUACAUGCAAGUCGAGCGAACGGACGAGAAGCUUGCUUCUCUGAUGUUAGCGGCGGACGGGUGAGUAACACGUGGAUAACCUACCUAUAAGACUGGGGUAACUUCGGGAAACCGGAGCUAAUACCGGAUAAUAUUUUGAACCGCAUGGUUCAACAGUGAAAGACGGUCUUGCUGUCACUUAUAGAUGGAUCCGCGCUGCAUUAGCUAGUUGGUAAGGUAACGGCUUACCAAGGCAACGAUGCAUAGCCGACCUGAGAGGAUGAUCGGCCACACUGGAACUGAGACACGGUCCAGACUCCUACGGGAGGCAGCAGUAGGGAAUCUUCCGCAAUGGGCGAAAGCCUGACGGAGCAACGCCGCGUGAGUGAUGAAGGUCUUCGGAUCGUAAAACACUGUUAUUAGGGAAGAACAUAUGUGUAAGUAACUGUGCACAUCUUGACGGUACCUAAUCAGAAAGCCACGGCUAACUACGUG
rnacentral:rRNA from 1 species